rnacentral:rRNA from 1 species
ACUAUGUGCCAGCAGCCGCGGUGAUACAUAGGCUUCAAGCGUUGUCCGGAUUUAUUGGGCGUAAAGAGUUCGUAGGCGGUCGAGUAAGUCGGGUGUGAAAAUUCUGGGCUCAACCCAGAGACGCCACCCGAUACUGCUUAACUUGAGUUCGAUAGGGGAGUGGGGAAUUCCUAGUGUAGCGGUGAAAU